UCUGCAUUUUUCUUCAACUCACCGAAGUCACCAAUCACCAUCACCAAGUGGUGGUGAAGUGACCCCUAAUCAAAGCUCAGUCUAUCAAUGUGCCACUGCAUAUUUCAUUCUGGGCUGCGAUUUUAAGCUACUGUGAGAUGACAGUUUCAGCCAUCAGAGAGAUUUCUCAUGUUAAUGAGGAGCUUGGUGAAGACAAGUGUGACUUUGGAGUGAAUAAGGGAAUCUUGGUGAAGACAAAGACCAUUGAUAAGGAUGCAGCUCAACCUAAGAAGUCUUUGAAAUCAUUUGUUUCUUUGAAGAACAAAAGUUUAGAUCAUGAGACGUUUGGAGUGGGAAUGGGUGAUGAAGUCUUGAUGGAGACAGUGAAGACUGAUGGGAAGCAAUCAGAAGGGAGUAUUCGACGUGAACAAGAGUCUAUGGGGGUACUUGAUUCUUUAAAGAAGAAAAGUUUUGAUCAAGUGGAGUCUGGGAGAGGAAGAGAGGAAGUAAGUGGGGUGGAAAGACUUGAUAGCAAGACUUCUUGUGGGAGAAAGAAUAAAGGAAAUGUCCCAAAAAGAAAGUAUCGGAAGAAGAAUGCUUCUUGUCAACGCACAUCUCAUCUUGGUGUUUCAGAUGAACAGAAUUCGCUUGAGCAUAACGAGUACGACGGUCAUGAUGGUGGUGGUGCAAGUUCCGCCAGGGAAAAAGUAAAGGAGGCAUUGUUUUUGUUUCGGAAGCUCUUGCAGGAAGAUGCUGACACAAAGGAAGAAAGACCUCGCCACAAAAGGGUUGAUUAUCAAGUUGCAAAGAUACUUGAGGAUGACAAGAAGACUGUAAACACAGACAUAAAACUUUUGGGGCAUCUCCCUGGAGUUGAAGUUGGCGAUGAAUUCAAAUGUAGGAUGGAACUUAGUAUUAUUGGUCUCCAUAGGCAAACUCAAAGUGGAAUAAGCUGUUCAAAGCAUGGUGGGAAGACUAUUGCAGCAAGUAUUGUUGCAUCUGAAGACCACACCGAUGAUUUAGAUAAUUCGAAUGUCUUGAUUUAUACAGGUCAAGGAAGUUCGGUAUACUCGGUUAAAAAGCCUGAAGAUCAGAAGCUUGAAGGUGGAAACCUUGCAUUAAAAAAUAGUAUGGAUGAAAAGACUCCUAUUAGGGUGAUACGAGGUUGUGAUCCAUAUAAGAGGAGAUUUAGGAAGUUUGUAUACAUUGGGCUUUAUUUGGUGGAAAGUUAUAGGCAGGUUAAGGGGCCACAAGGUAAUCUCGUUUAUAAGUUCUGGCUUGAGAGAAUUCCUGGUCAACCAGAGGUUGUGUAUAAAGAAGUUAAGAAGAGUAAAAGACCGAAAGCUCAAAAAGGUGUCUGUCUAGGUGAUGUUUCUCAGGAGAAGGUAAUUCAAACAUGUGCGGUGGAUACUACAGAUGAGAACCCUCCACCUUUUCAAUACAGAACCACUGAGAGAAUUCCUGAUCAACCAGAAGUUGCCCAGAAAGAAGUGAAGCUGACUAACAAAUCUAAUGCACAUAAAGGUGUCUCUCUAGAUGAUAUUUCUCCCGGGAAGGGGGUAAGUCCAACAAGACAUGUUGUGAAUACUAUAGAUGAUGAUCCUCCUCCUUUGAAAUACAGAGCCAUAGAACUAGACGAGGCCCAAAAAGAAGUGAAGAAGAGUGAAAAAUCUGAACCACAAAAAGGUGUCCGUCUAGAUGAUAUUUCUCAUGGGAAGGUGGUAAUUCCAACAUGUGCUGUGAAUACCAAUGAUGAUGAGAUACCUCCACCUUUAAGAUACAAAACCAUCAAGACUAUUCCUGAUGAACCAGAGGUUGGACAGAAAGGUGUGAAGAAGCGCAAAAGAUCUAAAUCACUAAAAGGUGUUUGUCUAGAUGAUAUAUCUCACGGGAAGGAGGUAAUUCCAAUACGUGAUGUGAAUACUAAUGAUGAUGAGAGACCUCCACCUUUAAAAUACAAAACCAUAAAGAGUAUUCCUGGUGAACCAGAGGUUGCACAGAAAGGUGUGAAAAAGCGUAAAAGAUCUAAAUCACAAAAAAGUAUUUGUCUAGAUGAUAUUUCUCACGGGAAGGAGGUAAUUCCAAUAUGUGCUGUGAAUAAUAUAGAUGAUGAGAAACCUCCAUCUUUUAAAUACACAACCAAUUUGGUUUAUCCUGAUUGGUGCCAUAUUACUCCUCCUAAGGGUUGUGACUGUAUUGAUGGAUGCUCAGAUUCUAAAAUCUGUUCUUGUGCUGUCAAGAAUGGAGGUAAAAUGCCAUAUAACUCUAAUGGGACUGCUGUCAACGAGAAGCUCCUUGUUUAUGAGUGCGGCCCUUCUUGUAAAUGCCCUCCUUCUUGUCGCAAUAGAGUGAGUCAGCAUGGUAUCAAAUUUAAACUCGAAAUUUUCAAAACCAAGUUAAGGGGAUGGGGUUUGAGAUCCCAAGAAUGCAUUCCUAUAGGCAGUUUUAUAUGUGAAUACAUAGGAGAACUCCUUAAGGAUGAGGAAGCAGAAAAAAGAGCUGGUUACGAUGAUUACCUCUUUGAUAUUGGAAAAAACUAUGAUUGCAAUACAAACAUUGAUGAAGAUUUGAAUAGUUGUGAAGAUGUAGAUGAUGACGACGGGUUCACCAUUGAUGCAGCAGAGUAUGGCAAUGUGGGGAGAUUCAUUAACCAUAGUUGUACACCAAAUAUUUAUGCACAAAAAAUCUUGUAUAAUCAUGAGGAUGACAGCAUUCCUCACAUUAUGUUUUUUGCUGCUGAGAAAAUUCAUCCUUUUCAAGAGCUAACUUAUGAUUACCAUUACAUUAUCGAUCAAGUUCGUGAUGCAAAUGGAAAUAUAAAGAAGAAGAGCUGCUUUUGUGGCUCUCGUGAAUGCACUGGUAGAUUGUAUUGAGCAGACUAGUUAGAAAGUUUGGACUAUAAAAGAAGUUGAGAAUGUCAGGGGGAAUGGGCCCGUUAACAAGGUCAGCGAGUGUUUCUACUCUCAGUAAAGGGAAAAACGAGGCACAGGGUCAAUUCUGUUUUCGUUGAUGAGGAUGUACAACUUCAAGGUCAGGAUGCCCUCGAUGCAUUUCCACAGACACUAAUCUUUAAUAAAUCACUGCCAGAAAAAGUGACUAUAUAGUCAUAUGCUGUUGAGGUUCUUGAAGACAAUAAAGUUUUAUUUGAAUGGACUCUAGGAUGUGGAUACUGGAUAAGGAUUAAGGAAGACUUGUAUAUAUUAAAGAUUGGGGUAAGUUGAUAACUUGAUACCAAUAAACUAAUGCAAGUUACAUCCAUGGACCAGUAUGUAGAAUACCAUGUUCAGGAAUUUGAGAAAAUCUGUGCAAUCAAAUUUCCAGCUUCUACCGUUGUGGCAUUUAGGCACGUAAGAUUCAUGCCUAAUGGUCUUAGAUGUUCAUGGCUAGGUAUGCUGCAUACGACCAUUUAUACUUGCAAUUUCUAUAAUAAGCAUAUUUUCCACAAUUAAAUCCACUUCAUCAUUUUAUGUUCAUUCUUCAUCAUUUUUAUGUUCAUUCUCCAUCUACAAUAAGCAUAUAAGGGUGUGAAGAACUUUACAAAGCCUACAGAGGAACUGAUUGCAAGACAUUGAUGGUGAAAGACAACUGUCGUGAGUGUUUGUCCACUACCGGUUAGACAGCAUUGGCUGGUGAGAGUAGUGAUGGUGCUUCUAAGGUCUCUUCAGAGACUACUUGGCCUAUCCAAUAUGAGAUGCACACAAUUUAAUGGUUAAGACAUGGAUUGUGAACUCAAUGGAGGAAAAUGUCAAGGAGUCUUAUUUAUAAUAUCCCACUGCUAAAGAUAUAUGUGAUGCUUUGACUUUAGCUACUUUUAUUUUUACUUUUUAUUUGGACAAUUCUGCUAAACUUCUUGAUGUUUGACAUAGGGUGCGACUGUGGGAGAAUUGAAACAAGGAGAACGUGAUGUCACUGAAUAUUUCAAUGCCCUGAUUAGAUUGUAGCAGGAGAUCAACUUGUUCGUUCAUAUAGAUUGAUGCUACCUGAAUGGGGCUGAAAAAUAUAAAAACAGGUUGAAAAAGAACGAAUACAUGAUUUUUUAGCAUGUCUUGAUGAAGUUAGGGGUCGACUUGUAGCAAUUACACCCUCCCUGUGAUUGUUGAUAUUUUUGCUCAAGUUCGAAGAGAGGAAAGCCAAAAACAAGUUCUGUUGGGUGAACCCAAGUCGUCAUUACGAGAGGCAUCUGCUCUAGUUGUCUGUGGCCAGGAACCUCCUAAAAACCAUAGAAGGAAUAAUCUGUGGUGUGAUUUCUAAAAAAAAAAACAAAUCACACCAAGAUCGUUGUUGGAAGCUAUAUGGUAAACAUCCUAAUUGGAAAGAUAACAAAGCUGGUAACGGUGAGUCUUCGAGAUUUCAGAUUCAGACUGAGAACUUAAAUCCAAGCUAAAAGGAGAGUAAUUUUGGAUUUCUUUGACCAAGGAAAAAUUAACACAACUUUACAAGCUGCUCGCACCUCUAUUGACAGCUACAAACACUUCUUUAUUGGCACAAAAAGGUUAUUUCUUCCCAGCCUUCAAUAGUUGUAAUAGUUGUAUUAGUACUCCUGGACCUUGGGCCUCUAGAGCUACAAAUCACAUGACAGGAGAUGAAAAAUAUUUUUUUCUUAAACCCCUAGUUCUAAACACUUAAAGGUUAACCUAGCAGAUGGAUCACUUUCAACAGUAACCGUAGCAGAAACUGGAACAAUUAGAAAUAGUCAUCAUAUUGAACCAUAUUCGGUUUUACAUAAUCUAAAUUUGAUAUACAAUAUUAUUUCUAUUUGUAAACUUGUAGUGCACUACUCAUUU